rnacentral:lncRNA from 1 species
UUCAUAUGAAUAUUUAUAAUAUUUAUUCAUAAAAUAAUGAAUACAAUCUCACUUUGAUACUGAUUAAUAAAUUAAUUCCUUCUAUUUCCAGGAAUCCGCAACCUUUACAUCCUGGUGUUACACUUUCAAAUCAUAUUGAUUCAAAUUAUACAUUUCAAGUUAUAAAUAAUCUUUUUCACUUGGAUAUAUUGAUUGUAAUUAUCCAUGAACUCACAACUAGACUUAACUAUAAUUUUAUACAAUGUUCUUUGACUAUGCAAUUACAAUAUGUCAUUUGAACGCUACCUAGCAUAGCUAGAGCUAUACGAACAACUUCAAUAAGUAUUUCUUCCUCUUUCCUUUGUCUAUCCCAAAUCCUUUGAUCCGCUUUGGUUUAGCUGAAAAUAAUUAUUUAUAGCAAGAGUGAGCAACUACGUUGCCCAACAAGUUUAACAGUUAUCGCAUAACACAUAGUUCGCAUUUUAAACACAACUUAAAUUAUUCAUACUUCGCAGUUUAUACAUAAAUUAAUGUUUUUCAUACAUUACAUUUAAUCAAGCAUCAUAAUGCUCAUACUCAGCAAUUAUACCUACUUCACGCUUAUCAUAUACCUCAUAUCAUGAAUAUAGUAAGUUUCCAUAACUUUGUCCACAUCAAUCAUUAACUUGAUUCAAUAGAUUUAUAUCACAGUAUAGCGCAUCUCAAUUUAUUCCCAAGGAGUACAUAUAAUACAGGGAGUAUGUACACAUUACAAUUAACAAGUUCACAUAAAAAAAACAAGUUCUGAAAAACUUGCAUGUACCGGAGUUUUACCAUUACACCAACUUACGCGUUCCUUGCACAACCUACAUUGUAUGUGGGAUUAAUAACAAAACACAUUAUCAGUCAAAGUUUGACUAUUAGUGUGAUCUUACUUUAAAACCUUAUCUUAACUUAUUAUAUUCCUUGUAUCCUCUUUAUAUCUAAUAAUAUAGACAUUCAACUUCAUUAUUUAUAUAGCUCGAUUUUAUUUCCCUUUUUAUCACCACAUGUGUUAGCUUAUCGCACUUAUAGUUUACGUACUGUGUGUGUAUCACACCAUUACAACAUACCAUAUUUGGUUAAACAUUUCUCAUCUAGGUUCCUUAGACUUAGAUUAUGCGCAGAGCAUUCGUUCAUCAAUUUGUAACCAUUCACUUAAUAGUACCUUACAUUAAUCUUGUAAUGUAUCUAUCCCAGUUAAAAAAAUAAUAAAAAUUUCCUUCUAAGUUCACUUUUACACUUUUUGGGUUGUCCAAAAAGUGUUACGCAACGAUUACAUAUUUGGACUCUACACGAAAAAUUAAGCAACAUAUAAAAAAAUUACAUGACGCCCAAAAAUUGACUCGGCGUACCAAAAUGGCUUGGCGUGCCAAAAACAACACAGCCAUUGCCCAGACAGCCCACACACUGCCCAGACUGCAGAACAAAAUCUGGAAAUUUCAGAUUUUGUGAUUUUCGGGCUAGUUUUACGAAUUUUUAUCUCACUCGUUAUACAUCGGAUUAAAGCCAUUUUCGGAUAUGUUCUACCUCAUACUACGUAGUAUUUUUUAAAAUAUAACAUUCAUGAAAAGAGUUUGGAAAGACUUCGAAACAGUGGUCUGAAACAGCCCAUACACAGCAGUUUCAGACUUAGAAAAUUUCAUGGUUUCUGCAGUUUCGGUGAUUUUCUAUGCUACUUUGGGAAUUUUUAUGAAUUUUUGUAUUAGGCUUUUAGCUUGGAGAUCUGGACAUGCUUAUAGAACAUAUAUCAAAGUAUUUUUCUACUGGUUUAGGUCAUUAAGCAAGCAACUUAAGCUUCCUCAAACGGAUGCCCAAACAAGGCCAUUAUUUACAGUUUUAAGUUUACUAGUUUUGGUCAAUUCUUGCCAAUUUCAUUUCUAGCCACUUUGGUUCAUUCCAUCACUUGAAUUAUAUCUAUUUAGAACUAGUUUUAGCAUUCCUUUAGGUUUGCUAAGCAUAAAUUGUGCUUUGACCCUCUAAACCAAGCUUUUUUCAAGCUUUUACGUACUAACUUCUCAAGUUAUUGCGUACAUUAGCAUUCCAACACUUGGAAUAGCCUAGCAUAACUCUAACUCACUUGUCUAAGGUGUCUAAAGUAAGUUCUAGGCCAAAUGGAAAAAUCUCAAAUUUUCAUACUUGGACAAAUUUGCAAAAACUGCAGUUUUAAUGAUUUUUCAUGCUAGCUUGGUGAUUUGUUUAAAAUUUUUGGUUAAGCCAAGAGCUUAACCACUUGGCCCUACUUCUAGACCAUACUACAAGGUAUUUUAAUCAAGGCUUAGGUUUCUUGUUCAUGCCCAUUAAGCUUCCCAAAACAGGGCUCAAACUUAGCCAUUUUCUCACUUUUUUUACAAAACUAUUUUUGAACUUUUUCCAUUUUUUUCUAGUUAUGGCCACUAGGAUAGUCUAGGCAUGUGUAUUUAAGUUACUUAAGGAUACUUUUAGCAUCACCAUACCUUAUUUAAUCAUGUAGCCCAUUUUGACCUAUCAAAGCUCACUUUAGGCUUGAAAAAGAGAUCUUAAAUUGGUUUUCUUGCUAGCUUUGGUCAUGGCAAUGGUUAGGAAUCAUCACAAGCAUGAAUUAACAAAUUUAUAUGAGUUCAUUACAGUCUUAUAAGUUCAGGUACUAGAAGUUACCCAAAACAGUCUACUUUUGAUCUUAAAAUGUGAUUUUUUUAACAACCAAUGCUCAAAACAGUUUAGAAUUUGUUUCUUUAGCUUGUGUAGCUUACUUAUGCUAUAUUAUAACUAUUGAAACUUGCCUAAAUGUUCCAGGUAUGGUAGUUCCAUAGUUGGGUGUUAGUUGACACUUUAAAGCUUACUUUAAUAGCUUUUAGUAUGAUUUUUGGACAAUACCCAUCCUAGACUUCAACUAACUUUAGGAACAUCUUUUAAAUGACAUUUAUGGAAAAUGAGAGUAUACCUUACUGAUUUAUAAUAUCAGUAGCUACAAAUGGCCAUAACAGCCCCCUUAGAGACAUAAUUUUUGCUCCCAAAUUUCAAGUAGUCCACCACAGACCACAAAGGAUCUUUAAACAUUUCAUAUGAACUUUAAUUACCAUAAAAACUCAUUAAUAUACACUCUGGCAUGAUUUCAAUUCAAUUCAGUUAUCAAUCCUAAACAGCCCCCUUUCCUAGGCUUUAUAAGUAUGAGUUAGCAUUCAUUCACCAUAACAGUACUAGGCCUUUAAGUACCCAAGUUCUCUGCAUAUAUAACCUUUAUAUAUGCUAUAUAAUCUACACACGUGGCUUUAAAACUCAUAGGUUAUAGAUUUCAUGCUUUUGACCAAAGCAACUCACUUCUAAGCUUUUUAUGACUUGAAGAAAACAUGGACUAGCAAUAUAGAUGACACAUGAUAGCAUGAUGAGCAUGGACUGAUUUUGACAUUGUAUACACAUGAAUGAGUUUUAUUCUCUUUAUAAUAUCCAGGUGGCUUAAUAAAUAACAUAUAACAGUCCAUACCACAACAGUUCACACACAAUUCCUAGACUAGAGUAGUCAGGCAUAGUUUUAACAUCUCAAGUUCAGGUUCUGACCUUUUAAUUCAUUGAGGCACAUGUAUUUUCACCACAUCAAACUUAUUAUUUCAUACCCUUGCCUUGUAUAAUAGCUUAGCAUGUUUUUGGCUUUUAAAACUUAAUUUACAUAGUAUAUCCACAUGAAGCUCUACAAGUUUGCUAGCUUAUGACUUUGCUGCACUUUUUCUAUCAUUUCUAGUAUAUUUUAUGUUAUAACAUGAGCUUCUAACCAUCUAAUAUGGCCAGGUUUAAUAGAUGACCAUGACAACCCCAAACUUAGAAUUUUAAGCAUGGAUUUGGCAAGGUAAUUCAAAACAGCCUCAAGUUUAGUUAAGAUGAAUGUUGAGGCAUCUUUAGAACAUGUAAUUGUUAAGAGAUAUACCUUCAUGGCUGAAGUUAAAUAAAUUCCUAGUUAACCCAAAACAACCCUCUUUUUACUUAGGUUUUAAGCUUGAAACCUCUUAGCUAUUCAAGUUAAGCAUAUCCACUCUCCUUUUAGCAUAUAAGCAUAUAUAUGGGAUUAUUAUCUUAGCAUAUGACAUGGUUUUGGACUUGUUUGCAUAGCUAACAUGCCUUUAGCACAUAACAUUCAACAUUUAGGCAUUUUAUCAAACAUGUAGAGUGCAGUUCAUAUAUAUACAUAUAGUAUAUAUAUUCCUAGCUCUUUGACCCCAGCCUUAUGGCUUUAAUUUACCUAGCAUGACAACAACAACUCAUAGCCACAAUUAGGCCUUAUGGUAGUUAAUAUAUCAGCCAAAAAUUUAGAAUAUCUAUCAUUAUAAUAGUAAACAUACUUGUAUAGCCAUUCCAGGCCAUUCAGCCAAAAUAGUCAACUAUUGCUAAUAAAAAUGUCAUGGAAAUGAAUGGAAUGAGAUGGGUUUGCUCACCUUGCUAGACUUCUAGAGGUACAGGUGCUUGAUGCUCAGUUUCUUCCUCUCUUUUUUUCUUAGACGAGCUCUCUCUUUAUCUCUCUAUAUGUUAUAGCUUUUGAAGCUCAGAUAUGAGGUAUAGCCAACUGAACUCAGGUGCAAGGUGCUGCCAUAUAUGGCCAAUCUUAACCUCUCUCUCACCAGCCUACUUCGCCUCUAAGCUGUAACCCCUCAUCACCUAUAGCCAGCUCCAUCAUUGCCCCUACUGCUAGCUCUCUAUACUCCCUACCCGGCUGCUACUUUGGCCCCUACACAGCCACAUGUCUUGGCCUCUAUAAGGCUUAUGUGCUAUUUUCCUUUUGCAUUGGCCCCUAGCAGUCUACUUGGCUGCUACUAAAUAAUUACUAAGUGAACUAAUUGCUAACUAAAGCAAACUAACUGCUUUAUCUAAUUAAGCUAAAAU